CCCUUAGAUGUUCGGGGCCGCACGCGCGCUACACUGAAGGAAUCAGCACGUCAUUCUCCUUGUCCGAAAGGACUGGGUAACCCGCUGAACCUCCUUCGUGCUAGGGAUUGGGGCUUGUAAUUCUUCCCCAUGAACGAGGAAUUCCCAGUAAGCGCGAGUCAUAAGCUCGCGUUGAUUACGUCCCUGCCCUUUGUACACACCGCCCGUCGCUACUACCGAUUGGAUGGUUUAGUGAGAUCCUCGGAUUGGUCCCGGAGCGGCCUCUGGUCGUGCCGGAGUGCCGAAAAGAAUGUCGAACUUGAUCAUCUAGAGGAAGUAAAAGUCGUAACA
rnacentral:rRNA from 1 species